GGCGGUGCGGGUGAGGGAGGUGUGACCUCCUCAACAAUAGACUAAAUGCAUAAUUGAAAUUUGUUUAGCUUUAUAUCUACUUUCAUAACGUAUCCCAUGGUACCUCUAAGAGUUGGGACACAAAAUCCUUUAAAUUUAUCACAUAAUACUUAAAAAAAUACAGGAGAUUAUUCAAUAUACUACUGCUCACAUGUAUGUGGGGUCUACUUUCGACAUUAUCAAGUGCACUCCAUGUACACCAUUUCAUUUUCAUUUGGGAUCCACUUUCCAUGUUUUCAAUUGGACUCCAUGUGUUUGUAAAUGCAAGAUGCACUAAUUUCUAAUAGACAUGGGUGCACUCAACAAUUCCCAAUUUUAUUUAAAUUGAAAUAUAUCAUAAAUACAUAAAUACUAAUGCAAUAAAACCUAUGUCAUACUAAGUGUAAACACCAUAUUUUGGCCGA
rnacentral:misc_RNA from 1 species